rnacentral:lncRNA from 1 species
CAGUAUAGUGAUUCAGUAUCACUAUUGUUAAACUUUCUGACAUUGUCGUAUUGGUCUCAGUUUGUUAAACUUGCUCAUUAUAUAUUGGCAAAGUAUCAAGACAUGAGGUAUACUAGUUUAUUCUGCAAUUUUGUCCAGUACCUUGUCAAUGAGCUUGAAUAUACCAUUUUUUAUUGUUGUCGAACAAUUUACUAUUUCUAAUCCUGACAUUUUAGCAUGAAUAUUGGCCGAACAUGAAUCUUUCUUAACUUGGUUUUGGUUGAUGUUUCUGGGACCCCUAUCAAAUGUUUUUCUAAUUUUUAUUGUUUUACUAUUCGCUACGCGUGCGUGACUAGUGGCGGAAGCUCAGGGUAUGCCAUAUAUGCAAAGAAGAAUAAAAUUCAUGGCACUUAUUUCAUUCACAUUGUCGCAUCUUCUUCUGUGUUUUCCUCAGUAUAUUUCCUUCAGAGCAAAUCUUCUUUUGCUUGACAUAUUCUUUAUGCUGCAUGUUCUAUUUUCUUUCUCUUAUUUGUUUGUGUAUACAGAUAGUCUCACCGCUCAUGAUUGCCUUCACAAACCUGCAACUUUUUCUGUAUAGAAGUAACUUUUGAAUUAUAUAUUGGUAGUAAAAGGGAGUAACUGAUAAAUUCUUAUGGAAGUGAUAUCACAAGCUUACUUAGAGCAACUCCAACACAUUCCUCAUACCCACUUUUCACUAAUUUUUUGAGGAACUUCAAAUUUAAACCACCUCCAACAGGAGCUUCAAAAGUGCCUGAAACUUUAGGAGCUUCAAAUAUUUCCUCAAACAUGUGGAGUGUUACCUCCCUCCUCAUUCCAAUUUUAUAAUGGUAAAUAUGAUAUCCUCUGUCAGCUAGAAGUAUGCUAAUGUACAGUUGUUUCUGCACCCACCCAAGAAUGCUCUCGCGUAUGAUCAACAUCAUUAUUGUUACAAAAACAUAUUUAAAGAAUUGCUAGUAUAUAAAAUACCCAAUUAUCCCCCACCCACCCACACACACACACACACACACAUAUAUUUAAGUAACAAAGUAUACAUAGAGAGUAUUUAUGAAGAUGUUG